GAGAAACGCAGAAGAGGGGGACCGGGUAGGGACGCCCGUGGAGGGUGCGGGAGAGAGAGUGCUUCUGGCAGGGUUAGCCGGGGUCUGGAAUGUGGUCGCUGGCUCUUCUUGGUGAUGCAACCUUGGGCUAAUUACUUCAUCGCUAUGAACGUCCAUUUCUUUAUCUGUCAGGUGGUCAUUAACAGCCUUACCGGAUCAUUGUGAUGAAACCCUCGAGGUGUGCAUACAGCACAUCCCCGGGGCAAAGGAGGGACAGUACAUCCCCCCAGCAAGCCCACCAGGAACACACCUGAAGAUGAACGAGCUGGAUUUACUACUUCUUGUAAGGGGGAGGAAUGCAUUCACAGGGAACCACGGGAUCAAAAGCUAUAUUUUCCAGGGCAGAGGUCGCCAGGAGAAUUUUGAAAUUUUAUGUUUUCAGUUUAAUGACCUAGAGAUUUUAACGUAAGCAUAUUCUGAAUUGUCUUGUAAUCAAGUACCGGCACUUGAUGUCACCUGUAUUUGUAUCUCCACUUAUGAUCACAUUGGCUCCAAGUAGAAGUACUUUAGCAAUGUCAGAGAAAAGAGGUGGACUAAAUAUAUAAACGAUACACCCGAGCUAAAUGAAGACCACGGAUGUCAUAUCAUGUUCAAAACGUUUUCAUAGUAUUCCAGUAAAACGUGUGGGAGAAUUGAGUUACCACCUGACACAUGAAUAGACAUACUGAUCUCAAAAGAACCUGUGCGGUACCAGGCAGUGCUAUAUUCGAGUGGCAAAACCAAAACAGAAUAUAGUAGCUACUAGAUUUUGUUAGUUUCAAGAAGAAAUGGCUUUUAAGCUUCUGAUAAAAUCAGCAAAGUAAGAUGUGGUGAAAAGAUCUUAGUUACACUAAGCAAUGACUGCUAAGUAGGUGAUUGUCAAUACUGUGCUCAUAAGAGUUUAAUCAUACAACUCCAAGCACAAGUUGUUGAAAGACAAUAUAAUCUGAUCAUAUGACCUUGGUCAAUAAUAUGCCAAAACAGACCUGGAUAGGUCUUAUCUACCUGAGAAAUUCAUAACCUAACUUCAGUGCUUGUCUUUCUUGACCUCUGUUGCCUUGGAUGCCAUUGAACAAAUUCCUCCUUCUUGAAAUAUUAUCUCUCUUUGGGUUCCAUGACACAACUCGAUCUUUCUGUCACCCUGAGAGCGCCUUAGCUUCCUCAGUGGGCUUGCUUCUCCAAGGGUACUGUUUCUCAGGUUCCGUCCCAGCUCCUCUUCUGCCCUGUCUGUCACAUCCACACUUGUGAUCAACCACCAGUAUACCCAUCACUCCCAAAUCUCAAGCUCACCCAGUUCUCUUGAACUUGACACCCAGAGCUUCCACCCGAGUAUUUUAAAAAAACACUGCACACUUUAAAAUGUCCAAAACAUAUACCAUCUUCCUUAUAAAUCCAAUUCCCUCCUGAAAACCCUGUUUCAACUAAUGACAUCACCUGUCCAGUCAGCAAAGUCAGAGACCUGGGAAUCAUAACUGGCUUAUUUUUGGCUGCGUUGGGUCUUUGUUGCUGCCUGCCGGCUUUCUCUAGUUGCGGAGAGCAGGGGCUACUCUUCGUCGCGGUGCGCGGGCUUCUCCUUGUGGUGGCUUCUCUUGUUGUGGAGCACAGGCUCUAGGCACGCGGGCUUCAAGAGUUGUGGCACACGGGCUUAGUAGUUGUGGCUCGCGGGCUCUAGAGCGUAGCCUCAGUAGUUGUGGUGCAUGGGAUUAGUAGCUGUGGUGAACCUGUGGCAUGUGAGAUCUUCCCGGACCAGGGCUCAAACCCGUGUCCCCUGGCAGGCAGAUUCUUAACCACUGUGCCACCAGGGAAGUCCUGUACCUGGCUUUUUGAUCACCAAAUGCUGUAGCUUUUAUGUCAUAAACAUAACUGGUAUGAUUUAUACCUCUUUUAGGUGUGUGGCUAUAAGGCAAGUGGGCCCCUGGAUCCAGAGCAUUUGGGCUGAGGGCAGUUUUUCGGCUUGUCCGAGGUUGGGGCUUUGUCUCGCCAUCAGCCCACUGGUGAAUGGAAUCUGAAGGUUGCUGGGGAGGAGGUGGGCAAAUCUGCAAAGAGCCCAGGGAGUUCCCCGGUAAAGAGUCAGAAAUCCUGCCUCUUCCCCUUUGGGGUUUCAAGUUAUUCUAACACUUGUGAUGUGUUGGGACGGUCCUAGUAAGCCGAGUGGUGAGAAAUGUACAAUAAUGGCCCUCAAGAAUGUGUCCACCACGCUGCCGGUGCUGGUGCUGCUGGGGGUGCAGUAAAAGAGCGGGGCUGGUACGGCAGGCCCAGCACCAGGGCCUUUCCUGUCUCAGGGGAAGGCCAGUCAGGAACAGGGGAAUGAUGUUGCACCCUGUCCUCAUCUGCCGCCUUGGGCCUUGGGGUUCCUUAAGAGAAAUAACUGAUUUUCUGUAAAUAAAAAUAUCUGUCUCUAAAGUUGUACUGGGAACCCAGCCUGCAAUAGUGUGGGGUAACCGUUGCUAGCCUGGGUUCUCCUCCCUCCCUGCAAUCUGUGCCGCAGUCUCAGUGGGUAGACUUUGAACCCUUACACCCGAGAGCCGGACUUCCUGUUUUCUGUGUCAGCCUCACCAGAGCAGCAGUUGGAAGCUUAAGCAGUCACACCAGACUUCUCCAUUUCUUUUCUCCACAACAGAAAUAUUAAACCAGACUGACUCACCUGGAUGAAGGAAGCACCUUGAGGGGGUCUUAAUUUGCAAGGAGGGGAAAACUCAGAGAAUGAUGAAUGGACUUCUGUCAGUCAGGAUGGAAGCUCAAAUUUGAUUUAUUUGUGUAGUAACUUAAACGUGGCUUCAUUUUCCACCACAGCAGGUGACAUAGGAUAUAUGUGAAAGCUCCUGGAACAGGGCCUGACACUUGGUGGGUAUUCAGUAAUCUUUGGAUUGGAAGCUAAAUCUUGCUUAAUUAGACACACAUACUACUGUGUUUGAGCAGUUACAGGGAAGAACCUGACCUCUGCUUCAAUUUGGCCUUUCCUUUUUUGAUCCCACAGAGCGAUCACUUUCCUCCUUAAGAGGAGUCAGUCCCCUUUUUACUGGGCUGUGGGAGUAGGGAAGGAUUUAAAGUCAGCAGAGUACGUGAAAUUCAGGCACAAGUGACUCCAUAAUAUAGGCCACGUUUAGAGGAUUAGUCCUCUGCCUUCCAUCCCCAGCUCCUUAGAAAGGCCAUUAAACUAUAUUUUUACGGAAUAUUUAGUUACAUGGAAAAAUUUCCAUGCUAUGACAGUAAGUAAAAAAAAAAAAAAAAGGAAAUAAAAAGUAUAUCGUAUAUCCCAAUUUUGUUAAAAAUACAUACUUUUUUGUUAAAAAUACAAAAAAAGUAUACAUAUGAAUGUGUAGAAAAAAGGCCAUAAAGUAAUGUAUCAAAUUUUAAUAACAAUUAUCUCUGAGUGGUCGGAUUACUAACAAUUUUUGUGUUAUUAAAUACCAUAGACAGUAUAAUUUUCUGUAUUCUCCACAUUUUCAGCAAUAAACACGUAUUAAUUUAUAAUCAGAAAAAAGUUUAUUUAAAAAGAAAUGAGAAAAGGAAUUGAUAAAACAAUUUCUUGUAAAAUCAUUAUAUUUGUUACAAAGCUUCAGGAAAAAAGCCCCAAAGAUUGAUUCUUUUCCAAGUGGUUCUACAAACUUUAAAGUUGAAUCAGCAACCGCAUGGCAAACUGACAUUCUUGGACUGUGACAGGUGGCCUGAGAUAAGACAGGAUGGAUACCAAUGGCUGAAGGGGAAUCAAGAAUCCUUUAUCUAGAAAAGUUACUUAAGAAUGGAGAAAGAACUGUUCUGAAAUGGAGGGAGAACCAGGGUGAACUUUUGGGCAGCCUGGAUCAACCUAUUUAAAACCAGACUCACAAAACAGGGAGACUCAUAGAGCAUAGAAACCCUCUAGUCGGGGCCCCUAACUUUACCCGUAAGAAAACCAAACCCAAAGGGAGUUGCUGUGUUAUUCUUCAUGGAACGUAGUUGCCGUUUUAUAGUCCUGUGCUCACAGAGAUAUGGAAAGGACCCUGCUUGGAAUCCAGGCCCUGCUGCCGCCCAUCUUUCCUCCUUCGUUUUCCUGACAGAAAAUGAGUGGAGUUUUAAAGAAGGAGUUUAAGAAGGCAGUUUGGAAAUUUAAGAAGAAGAUUUUAUAAAGGAGAAGCUCUGUGGUACGCAAGUGCCCUGGGAAGUUAUAAGGACUUCCCUGGUGGCUCAGAGGUUAAGAAUCCGCCUGCCAAUGCAGGGGACACGGGUUCAAUCCCUGGUCCGGGAAGAUCCCACAUGCCGCGGAGCAACUAAGCCCGUGCGCCGCAACUACUGAGCCUGUGCUGUAGAGCCCGUGAGCCACAACUACUGAGCCCAUGUGCCACAACUACUGAAGCCUGCACGCCUAGAGCCUGUGCUCUGCAACAAGAGAAGCCACUGCACUGAGAAGCCCGCGCACCGCAAUGAAGAGUAGCCCCUGCUCGCCGCAACUAGAGAAAGCCCGCGCGCAGCAACAAAGACCCAACACAGCCAAAAAUAAACUAACAAAUAAAUAAAUAUAUUGGCUAUAUUC